AUUCAUUGUGUCUCCAGAAAGAAAUCUCAUAUAUACAAAGAUCCCCUCUUUUUCAUGACUCCUCCAGAGAGUACAGAGUUUUUCAAUCUUUGAGAAAAAUAAAGAACAAUGUGCAGAUAGAAAAACAAUUUUAAACUCUAGUCCUACCAAUUCAAAAGUUUUACAGGAAACUCCUGAACAUCAGAGGGCUAAAGUUCAGUGGCUCAAUCCUAGCUCAUUGCAGCCUCAAACUACUGGACUCAAGCAAUCCUCCUGCCUCAGCCUCAUGAGUAGCUGGGACUACAGAAGCAAGGAGUUCAAAGUAGGGCAAGAAUUGUCAUCGGUAAAGAAAGUAGUCAUUUAUGCUUGCCUGCAGAAAGGAUGCUUAGUUACUUCUGUGAUUGCAAGAAUUAAUACUCAACGUAUCCACAUGCUGACACAAGAUGAAAACUCUCUCAUCUAUGAAAUUAUUAGUUCACUAAUAGCAACGAUAAUAAAAGUAUUUAUAACUUGACAGGGCUUCACCUCAAAACAGUAACACCUUUGGAGCUUGCUGCAACAAACAUUGAAUGACUUCAUAGAUAUCCUCCAACAUAUUAUGCUUUCCAUUAAUCCACCUAAAUAAAACCAUAAAUAUCAAGAAAGGAAGAAAUCAAAUCUACUCUAAUUGAUUUCAAGCCAAUCUCAUAAAUUCUCAGCCUUUCUUAGUGUACCUAAUCAAGUAAUCAUCAUGCAGCCAAAAGUCUCGAGUGAAUUCAUUGACUUUAAAAAGGAAAGAACAUUUUCCUAAUAAUAAUGAUCCUAAUCCUGUUCCAAAUAAAAUGGUCAUAAUUAUGUAUCAGGAAUAAAGGUGAAGAACAAGAAAGAGGAUUAUAAUGUGAAUACUUAAUGUGAAUAUCAGAGAGGAUUUGCUUUGCUAAAGUGAUCAGGCAAAUGAGGAAGAAACAACACCACACUGAAGACAAGCAGCCAGUGUCACAGGCAGAAAAUGAAAGAGUGUGUUGUGGACCUGGAAGCCAGAUGGAGAAAUAUUUCAAGGAGAAGAUGUGAUUGGUUGUGUCAAAUUCUACUGAUAAGUCAUGUAACAAGAACUUAGAACUGACCUUUGGACAUAGCAAUAUAACGGUUAUUACUGGCCUUUGCAAGAACUGUUUCAGAGGAGCAAUGAGAAUAUAAGCUCAAAUGAAGUUGGUCAAAAAGAAUGGGAGGGGAGGAAUUGGAGGUUGCAAGCAUGCAUAACCAUUUUGAGGAGGUCUUAAAGGGGAAAGGAGAAAUGGACAUUUGAAGAUGAAUAUGGAUCAAGAAAAACAAAUAAAAUGGUAAUAUUAACAGCAGGUAUAUAGGCUGUUUGGAAUAAGUCAAUAACAAAGAAAAACAUGAAAACUGAGAAAAGAAAGAAAACAUUUGCUGUAGUAAUUUUUUUUAAGUAAGUAAGAGGGAAGGCACUCUAGUGCAUAAAAGGAAGGGUCGAUAGUAACUAAAAUUACAGACUUUUUUUUUUUACUAAUAACAGAAGGAGAAAGAGUAUAUGACACAGAUGGAGAAAACAAGUUUAAUCUUAUAGAAGUAAGCCUCUGGCUUUUAGCAAACUAAGAAGCAAGGCCAUAAUCUGACAGUGGGGUAGAAGAGAGUGCUUUGAGAUUUGAGGAGAGUAGAGAAGACAGCAAAUAAUAGUUUAAGAGAAGAAGAGAAGAUGGGAAAAGUAAAUAAUAGUAUGAUUAUUGUUCUA